GGUUUUAAUUGAAUGCUAAAAGAAUGGAAUAUCAAAGAAUAACUUUCUUAAAAUUAAAAAUUGAAAUUUUUUUAAUUUGUGUAAAAACAAUUAUAUAAAUUAAAGACAAGAAGACCCUAAGAAUUUUUAAAAUUUAAAUUAACACAUUUUUGUUUUAAUUAAAUUUUAACUGGGGCGGUUAAAAAAUAUUAAAAACUUUUUAAUUUUGAAAAUGACCCAUUAUUAAUGAAAAUAUGAUAAAAUACUCUAGGGAUAACAGCGUUAUAUUUUUUGAUAGAUCAUAUUGACAAAAAAGUUUGCGACCUCGAUGUUGGAUUAGGAUACUUUUUUAAUGAAGAUAUUAAAAUAAGAAGUUUGUUCAACUUUUAAAUUCCUACUUGAUCU
rnacentral:rRNA from 1 species